AGGAGCCGCUGGUCCAGGACGUUCCAACACGUUGGAAUUCGACGGUGGAUAUGGUCAAGCGUCUGAACCGCAAUCAAGCAGCAAUAAAAGCAACCCUGGACCAACAGCAGCACAAACUCAUUAUGCUGACACCACCAGAAUGGGACAAGGUGCAAAGACUUGAGACUCUUCUAGAGCCCUGUCGGUAUGUAACUGAGAUCCUGGGUGGGGAGGCCUAUGUAUCCUGCUCUGUUGUACUGCCUGCCCUCUGCCACUUGCGUCGUGUAAUGGAGGUCUCUGAUGAGGACCCUGCAUAUGUUCUCAAUAUAUGCUCAAGCUUGCAACGGCCCUGGAUCCACGCUUUAAAGACUUGAAGACCCUGCCCAAGAGUGAAAGAGAAGAGGUGUGGACCACACUGGGAGGCAUGCUGCAUGAACAAUCACAAAGAAGGUCUCCACAGACUUCUGAAGAUGGGCCACCCAAGAAGAAAAUGAGCCUGCUCCUACAAAUGUGCUCAGAUUCAGAUUCUGAUGAGGAGGUGCAGCCUGGCAGAGACAUACACAGGUACAGGGCAGAGCCCUGCAUUAGUAUGGAGGACUGUCCCUUGCAGUGGUGGUCUGCUCAUUCAGGAGCCCAUGACAAGCUGGCCCUGCUGGCUCGCAAAUAUCUAGCGACUCCUGCAUCCACAGUUCCAUGUGAAAGACUCUUCUCAGUGGCAGGCCACAUCGUGCAAAAGAAACGGUCAGCCUUACUUUCAGAAAAUGUCAACCAGUUAGUUUGCCCCAGCCACUGGCUAAAAGAAGAAUAGCCAAGAGAGACACAUUGUAUUGCAUGAAGGUGUGGUAGUUUGUUAAUUUAAAAAAGGGAAAAUGUUCAACCAAUGUUUAACCAUUCUAAACUUAGCAAUGGCUAAGAUGCCCAUAACGUUUGGGAUGACUGUUAUCUUUAAGUUUGAUUAAAAAAAU